GUCUACGGCCAUGCCACCCUGAACAAGCCCAAUCCCGUCUGAUCCUAGAAGCUAAGCAGGGUUGAGCCUAGUUAGUACUUGGAUGGGAGACCAUCUAGGAAUACCAGGUGUUGUAGGCG
ensembl:rRNA 5S_rRNA 5S ribosomal RNA